rnacentral:rRNA from 1 species
UACGUAGGGUGCGAGCGUUAAUCGGAAUUACUGGGCGUAAAGCGUGCGCAGGCGGUUUUGUAAGCCAGAUGUGAAAGCCCCGGGCUUAACCUGGGAAUGGCAUUUGGGACUGCAAGGCUUGAGUGCGGCAGAGGAGACUGGAAUUCCUGGUGUAGCAGUGAAAUGCGUAGAUAUCAGGAGGAACACCGGUGGCGAAGGCGGGUAGCUGGGCCAACACUGACGCUGAGACGCGAAAGCUAGGGGAGCAAACGGG